rnacentral:rRNA from 1 species
UACAGAGGUCUCAAGCGUUGUUCGGAAUCAUUGGGCGUAAAGGAUGCGUAGGUGGCGUGGUAAGUCAGGUGUGAAAUUUCGGAGCUUAACUCCGAAACUGCAUUUGAUACUGCGGUGCUUGAGGACUGGAGAGGAGACUGGAAUUUACGGUGUAGCAGUGAAAUGCGUAGAGAUCGUAAGGAAGACCAGUGGCGAAGGCGGGUCUCUGGACAGUUCCUGACACUGAGGCACGAAGGCCAGGGGAGCAAACGGG